GAUGAAAGCUAGCUACAGGCUUAACACAUGCAAGUCGAGGGGCAGCAUGAACAUAGCUUGCUAUGUUUGAUGGCGACCGGCGCACGGGUGCGUAACACGUAUCCAAUCUGCCCGUUACUCGGGGAUAGCCUUCUGAAAGGAAGAUUAAUACCCGAUGGCAUGUAUUUCCGGCAUCGGAGAUACAUUAAAGAUUAAUCGGUAACGGAUGGGGAUGCGUACGAUUAGCUUGUUGGCGGGGUAACGGCCCACCAAGGCUACGAUCGUUAGGGGUUCUGAGAGGAAGGUCCCCCACACUGGAACUGCGACACGGUCCAGACUCCUACGGGAGGCAGCAGUGAGGAAUAUUGGUCAAUGGUCGGAAGACUGAACCAGCCAAGUAGCGUGAAGGAUGACUGCCCUACGGGUUGUAAACUUCUUUUGUUUGGGAAUAAAAGACGCUACGUGUAGCGUUCUGCAUGUACCUUACGAAUAAGCAUCGGCUAAUUCCGUGCCAGCCGCCGCCGUAACAC
rnacentral:rRNA from 1 species